GAGCUAGAACGAAUGCGGAAAUCGGCAUUGUGCUGGAAGCUGCAAAUAUGGAAGGUGUGCAGGUGUUUGAGAGUUAGUUUAGUUAGUGUGCUAUCAAGUGUUGCCAAGAAAAGUUGCUAAUCCCAGUUAAAAUUCCAGAAGAAGAUGCUGAAGUCUGCAUCAGAGCACUUAAAUUUGACAAUCUUUCUACGGAAGAUUUUGAAGGCUAUUGGAAGGCAUGCCGACAAUUUCGCAUGGUGGAUAUAAAGAAAAUGGAAAGUACGACCGCCAUUUUUGACAAAUGGCCCUUUUACAAGAUUCCUUCUGGCUUAAGACUGUUAGGUAAAUUAGUUAUUUUGCUAUAACAUAUAAAUCUAAAUCAAGUUACAUGUAUUAUUAGAUUUAUAUGGACUGUGACGCGCUGCAUCCUAAUGGAGAUGAUCUUUUGUCAACAUGGGAAACAAAAAGAGAUGCUAUAACAGUCUUAAUGCUACGAUACUUUGGGCGCUUCAUAGUUCAUGGGUACUUAGUUCCGACGUCUAGGACCGUGUGCAAAGACAAAGCAGGAAAAAAUAGUGUCAUAAAAUAUACCAUCAAAGAUUCCCAAGAAGCAUUUGUAUUACAGCGAAAGUCGCAUCAAGAUUUGGACGAUUACUUGUUACAUCAUUUGGCCAAUGGGAAAACAAACAUACAGCCACUUCUUCUGCUAGUGGGUGAUGAGAUAACUAGUAUACAAAAGAUUUAUGUGUAUGUUGAUGGUGUGAAAUAUUCAUUUACGAAUUUCUUAAGAGCAGUAGAUAGUUGCUUCAAAAUAUUUUAUGUGUUUAACCUAAAAUUUCCCGAUGCUGCAAUGAACUUUUGGUCUUUUAUAGAAACAUAUUUUUAUCAAUU